rnacentral:lncRNA from 1 species
GAAAAGAGAAUCUAAACUAGAACUCUGGGAAAAAAUAUUCACAGGAUUGGAAGAUGAAUAAGCACCAAGUAAAAGUAAUUGCUAUUAUCAUUCAUCACCAUUACUAUUAUUCUACAAGUAAGUGCUUAUUUGUAUAUUUCAAGAUCUGUGUUUACUACCUACACAUUAACUUUUUAAUAGCACUUCUUACAUUCCACCCAGAAUAUUUAUGCCUACUUUUCACUCAGUAGACCACCAGGCUUUGUUUGGUUCAUCAAUUCAAUCCAGCAUCAGUAAUUUUUACUGAUUGCCUUUAAGAUGUAUGUUAAUGUUUAAAGCACUAUAAUCCAUCUCUAUAAUGGAGUACUGCAAUAUUCCUACUACUUACUAUUGUCAACUUUUCCAUCAGCAUCAAUUAGAAAAGACACAAAGGGAACGUUUGGGUUGCUCAGCCAGUUGAGUGUCUGAGUCUUGAUUUCGGCUCAGGUCAUGAUCUCAGGGUUGUGGAAUCAAGCCCUGCAUCAGGCUCUGCGCUGAGAGUGGAGCCUGCUUAAGAUUCUCAAUCUCUCUCUCUCUCCCUCUGCCCCUCUUGCUCUCUCUCUCUUUCAAAAGAAAUUUAAAAAAAAAAAAAAAGAAAAGACACAAAUGAACCAUAGCUUUAUCAAUUAUUUUAUCAAGGGAACAAGUAUAGAAGCAUCACUUGCAACUGUUCAACAAUCAUUAUUUCAUGCACUAAAAGGAGUACGUUCUACUUUUCUUUUUCAAAAAAUAAAAUACAAUAGUUUUACAAUUCAUUUAAUAGUAACUGGUAAUCAUCAAAUUAGCAAUGUUUAUCUUCAAAAGUUAUUUCACCAGCUGUGCUGUCAUUUCCCAAGGACGAUCAUAUAGAUGGAGUCACAGACAUUUCCCACAUAAGAUGCAUCAUAUAAAUCAGACUUGGUUUAUCAUGAGCAUUGAUAAAACCAGACCUAGGGUAAGAACUAGAUCUCGGGACACAUGCAUGGUCUUAAUACAGCGAAUGUUUAGCCUCCCCUGAUUAUUACAAAAUCAGAACAAGAAUAUUCGUGGAGUACAUUCUACUUUUUAAAAAAUCCUCCAUACAGCCAACUGUCAUGCAUACACAAGGCAGUUAUCCUCAGUGUGUUUCUGACAAGCUUGCUGCUAAGCUUACUGACCUUCUCUAAUGAAUUACUGUUUUGUUGUUCUCUGCACUCUUCAAUUCCAAAGUCAAACACACAUUUCCUCUAUAGUCCACCUCUCCAUUUCCAUUUAUCUGCAGGCUGUCUGCAGAGACAAUCCACCAGAAAGAGGACAACACUCACUUUGGAACCAGAAGGCAUGGGUCCAGGUUUUAACUUAUAAUUUAAUCAAUUGUGCACAAAAUCUGAUUUUCCUCAUCUUUGUGUCUGUGUGAAUGAUCUUACACUCCUUCCAAACUCCCUCCAACAACAGGUGGUAAAGUAUUACCAUUAGGAAAAGCUUUGGAAACCCAAGCACAGCCAUUGUCCUUUCUCAGUGGAAAGUUUAGGAGACAGUCAUCUGUUCUCAGUAGCUUUAUGGUGUGGACUGUGGGGAUCUGCCUCACAGAAGCCACUAUUAAUUGAUUACAAGUGCCUCUGAAGAAUAUUAGAAACACUCAGCUUCAGGUCUAAACCUAAAGACACGUUCCAUCCAAUUGGAUACUCAAUAUUGUCCCAGAAUAUAAGGAGGGAAGGGGUCAUUCUUCCCAAUUUGCAAAUGAGGAAAGAGAGGCUCAAGGCUUAGCAAACAGACCAAGAUCACUCAGCUAGGAAAUGGCCAAACUAGGACCUUUCAACUUUUCUAAUUCCUGGUUGUUCCCCUUGUGACACCUUUAACAAGAAGGAACAAAGCAGUGCACAUAUCCCUUCUCAGUUCAAGGAAUGACAGCUUAAUGACCCAAGAGAGUUAAUGUACCUCCCAAAAGAUUCAUUUCUCCCUGACUUACAUUGAAAGAGGUUCAUUCUACAUUUUCAUAAAUUGAUUUAAAACAAUCAGGAGAAGGCUCAUUAAAAUUCACUACACAAUAAAAAUAAAAUACUUAGCGGUCAUAUAUAACCACACAUUUUGUAGAUAUUGACAAUGAGCCAUCAAGAAUUUAUUUCAUAGGUGGCUAUUAUAAUUAUUUCACAACAUAGAACACCUAGACUAGACAGGCUCCUUUUUUGUUGGAAAGAGAGGUUUUAAAGAUCAAUUUAACAAUACUACUUUCAGUGUCAGAGUUCCGAGCCUCAGUCCAGUGGGACGCAUUCUUGAAGCCUUGCACAUUUAAUUUACAAUGAGCUUCAACAAAUUGUACUCUUUAGCUGUCUCACGUGAUAGAGGUCACACACACCUGCUGAAGCUUAGUUGCAGACAGACACUAUCCAGCACAUUCUAGUCAUUUCUAGUAUGAGACACAGACGACUCCAAAUUUACAGUAAUUAGAUGUUGACAAUCUCUUUGACUCAGUGAAAUGAAACACUAUUGAACCAAGUUUAAGUUCUUCUCAAGUCUUCAGGGAGAUCGAGUGAUUCCAAAGCAGCUACUGCAGGUAUAUGUCUGCAUGAAUGAGACACUAGAUGACCUGAUGGCAACUGGGAUGCCUACAAGGUGAAGGAUGGAUUUGAGACAAGAGGAUUUUGUACGCUGCAAAGUGGUAUAUGGACCAAGGGGGCCACACAUGCAAGAGCUUUGCACGUGUCUCGCCAGAUCAUGGCUUGGCUACACGAGCUGCUUUUUAUGAGUGUUCAGUUCAGCAACAAAUUGAAUAGAAGAUCCAAGACCACCUUUUUAAUUACAAAAUGCUUCUCCCUCCCCCACAAUUGGAUGUCUGCUCGUUUCAGCUCUGCAAAAGAAUGUCAUCAUCAUAAUUCCUAGUAGCUUGCUUCUGUUUCCGCUUCAAUAGAUACCCUGUAGAUGGGAAGUCACAUAACAGCUUUGCUCCCCAUCAAGUUGCCUGCACCCGAAAACAGCUGCAAUGCUUAUCUAAUUAAACCCCAGCACCAAACUGUGAGCUUGUGCAUCAAUCAUUAAUAUUGUAUUUUGGAUCACUUUAAAUUCUGACUGAGGGUACAUGGCUCCCCACACACUGGUCUCUGAAGGAGAUUUUUCAAAUAAUCUUUAAGUGGCAUUGAAAAAAUAAAACAAGCUGCCUGCUGUUUGACGAGAGCUCUACUAUCCUGCUGCACCCUGAUUAGCUGUUAAUACUAAUUGAGAGAUGAAUAUUGCUUAUUCCGAAAUGCUCAAGAUUUUUUUUUUUAUGACUACAAAAAGGAAAAUGCAGUUUUCCUUCCCUCAGAAAUGUGGCUCCUUGCCCAAAUUUUAAAACAGCGCCAAAAGAACGGUGGUUUCUGGGUCUCUCAUCUACAGCGUGCAGAGUCAUUAUACUGAAUCACUUCUUUACUCUGCGGGGCCAUCCACAAGUUAGUGAACUGUGAUCUCCACGUGGGAUUUGCACAUUCAUACCCUACAUCUGGAACGUGGAAAUGGUCCUCACAGAGAUCUGAUAGCCCAGAAAUAUUUAUGUAAAUCUCUGUCCUGCUAAGGCACAUGUUGAUGCACUUGGGUUCAAGCUCAUAAACCAAGAGGAAUGGUUUCCUACAUCGCUAUUCUAAUAGACUAAAGCCAACAGGCUAAGCCAAAUGGGACAAUUUAGACAAAGAGAGACUGGCAAAACCAAA